rnacentral:tRNA from 1 species
GGUGCAUUGGUCUAGCGGUAUGAUUCUCGCUUAGGGUGCGAGAGGUCCCCGGUUCAAUCCCGGGAUGCGCCC